GGCGCUGGUCGGGACUCUUAAAGUAUUAUGCAAUAAGUUAGCUUUUCCAAUAUGAGCAGCGAAGUGCCAACGGCAUAUGGCAGUUGGCAAUUGGCAAACCCUGCCUGUUGCUCGUCUUCUGCGUCAAAGAUGCAGCAUAUUUAUUUUGGCCAGGCUUUCACUUCGUUUUUUUUACAUUUCGGGUUGAGUCAAAGCGUUCGCUGACGCAAGACUCUAGCUUAGUCCCCCAAAGACACAUGAAAAACCUGAUUAAACUUGUAAAACAAGCCCGUGGUAAAUGUUUUUAAAUCAGUAAUGUUAGUCCAAAACUGUGCUGUAAUUUUAAAAAUUACCUUAGCUCUUACUUAUUAGUACACAACUCACAAUUUGUAUUUAAAAGCCGACUCUCAAACCAAAAUUGAACGCGCAGUUUUUGCGAGUGUGUUCGCCUCCAGACUUCCCUGCAUAAGUGAUUGCCGGCAACGUGGCGUAUGUGUAAUUUGUCGUUGCUAGUGCACAGCUGCUAUCAACUUUGUUACACUGCGCACGGAGACAGGGCAAACUGCAUUAAAUGCACAUUUGUUACGCAGCCCAAAUUCUCGGAAGGCUCCUUGUGUCUAUCAGGAUGUAUUUGCCUGUGUCGCAGGGAACACCUGGACCGAAGGAGGUUCUCUGCCGCAUUUCCCCAAAAUUCUUUACUCGUCUCCGCUUUGUAAAUUGGCAAUUUAUUUCACUGCCUGCAACGUCAAUGGUCUAAACAUGUUGUGGCAAAUUCCUCCUUUUAUCGAGUGCAGCACAAAGCGACAGUUUUACACAUGACGAGGCAGCUGUGAAAGACGAUCAACUGGAGCAUAUUUGCGAGCAAACUAAUUUGAAUUUUCGCUUGACGCUCUAUUUUAAUUUAAGUUUAUUUGCUGGCCGGCUGGCCAAUUCAAUUUGAUUGAUUUGUGAGAUAAGGAAAGGUCCAUUUAUUGGCCAUUAAAGCAGCAUAAUUGAUUUUGUGCACUUUUUUCAGUUGAUUGUAUGGACAGGUGAUCCCCAAUUUUCUAUUCAGCAAAAACAUGUAGUUUUCCAAAUAUAAAUUUUCACUCCCAGUUCAGUGUGUAAAAAAGUGCUCAAUUCGAAACCUAAAGAGAACCAUUUUAGGUAACCAACUACUAAUAAUGGAACAAGCAAGUCUUUAACAACUAACUUAUAUGAUCAGAUGUGGCUAAAAUAUGGUAAAAAUUGUUAGCGAAACAUAAACAUUUAGGCAGCUGGAGUCGACACAAGAGAAUGCGUAUUCAUUUGGGAGCCGGAAGCGCGGUCAAAGCAUUUUUCCGGUGCAGGAAAAUAGCUGCCCGCUAUUCCAUUCCUUCUAUCCCAUCUACUCCAUCCUGUAGCCGCGGGCCCACCUCAUUAUCCGCACGUACAGAGCGAGGGAUGUACGGGCAUAAUGUGCAUGCAUUAGUCAUAUAUCUGAAACAGGCAUCGCUCGAUAUGGAUGUGUGUGGAUGCGGACGAGGAUGCUUGGGGCGUCGAAAGCGGGUAUAAUGGGGAUUCUCACGCGUUGGAACAAUAACCUAAAAACGCGAGUCUAAUUAGGAGAUCCACACACUCUGCAAAUUUGCAUUCUCACAAUCUUGCAGCCUGCGGCUGAUUUGGAUAGGACAUAGAACAAAAGCUAUACUCGUAUGUAUAUGCAAAACACAAGCGGAAGCUGCCAGGAGUAACAUUUUCGUUAACGAUGGACUUGGAUGUAUAUAUUUAAUGUACAACACUUUAAAUGGCUUAUAAACGAGUUGAUCGAAGUUGUCUGGAGAAGUUUUGAUGACUAAUGUGGUAGAGAAAGUAAGUUAAGUGUAUUUGUUUUAGAAGAAACCUUGAAUACUUAUAUUUAAAAAAUCUGUUAAGGGUUUGAAAAAGAAGCAAGAUAAGAAACUAAGCAAAACAAAGAAUAAGUAAGCUGCUAGCCUGGCCAAAACAGAUUUCGGCCGCGUUGACAAUAAUUCAGAGCAUCGCGAAACAGUUGCUAAACUUCGAAAGCUCAACGCAACUUGUCUCGUAAUUUUUAUUAAUUUUACACCAUUGGAGGCUGAAAAGUUUAUACAUUAAUUUUGGUUCUUCCGGAGUCUUUUUUCUCAUUUUUUUCCUCACCAGGCUUAGCGGCUGCUUACAAGCGCUUUGGCUUGUCCUUUGGGGAGGAUUCUCGAGCGGACUUUGCAGGACUGGGGAUGGAGGAAGAAAUUAUAAUAUAAAACUUGGAACUUUUUUGUUGCAGAAGACACAUAAAAAUUGUUUUUGUACUUUUGUGCUCUACUUAAGCGGAUGUGGCGGCCUGGGGUCCAUUGUGGAUAUCCGUUUUAAUUAGUCGACGGGCACCGGAAUCUCAAUCCGAAUCUGAGUCUGACUCUGAAUCCGAAUGCGAAUCUGCAUUGCAGACAAUGCCUCAGGAAGCGAAGGCAAAAGUUACCCUUGCCAUAACUGUGAAAUGUGCGUUGACAAAAAAAGUUAAGCAAGAGCGAGUUGCGGUGCAAGGAGUCUUGGGAAAGGACCUUGGCUUUUCUUCUGCUUACAUGAAAUUCAUUCAGUACGACAACUACGCCGAACUCCAAUCAAAUGAAUAAAUUUGCAAAUAUAAAUAAAGGACAUGGCGCUGGGUUGAAUAAAUGGAGAGAUGAACUUUUUUAAAUUGCGUUAAAUGUUGAUCCAUGGAAAACGAAUUGACGGCCCAGUCAACGGGCAGAAAAUAUUUAACGCCAUUUUUAUUUAUGACAUAAAUACGGCCCAAACAUAUUUCAUGGUCCGCCCGAGCGCGAACAAACUGAUAGAUACAAUGCAUUUUCGAGUGCUCCCCGUGCGAUUGGCUCUUUCUUUUGUUCCCACGCCUGCAAUCAGGCCUCCCUGGGGGCGGGCUCCUGGUGGGGGCGUGGCAGGACGAGCGGAAUGCAUUUGAUGGUCGCCUGUCAAUGCCAAACAACAAAAGUGCGGAGGAAAGGCGAUUGAGGUGGCUGGAAGCCAAAAGAAAAAUGUUGAAAAAUGUGCACGGCUUCGAUGGCUGAGCAAAAACGGGCAGAUAAAUUUAUAUGCAACCUCACACACACACACACACACACAGUGGCGUACAAAGGCAAUGCGUAUGUAUAUAUAUACUAUACAAGCAGAUACACCUACAAGCAUAAGCCCACAUAAAGCACUCAGGGAGCAGAACGGGCCUGCAUUUAACAAUUUAUCUGCAGCUGUCAAAAUUAAAACCCCAUACGGCUCCACAGCUGGGCGAGCUUCAAAGCCAUAACCAUUGCGAUGGACAUGGCUGUGCGGGGGGGCUUGUGAGAGGGGUGCCGGUGCGGCGAACCACGACGAGUCAAUACCCGUGGCAAUCCGUGGCCAGCACUCGUCCAGGACACAUGGGUCACUCGAAGAAAUGAAUGUGAUUUUGGGAGAAAUUAAUAGUCAAGGCUAAAAACAUAUUCGCCAACAUGACAGCGGUUGAGUGUUUGACUAAACUCUAAAACUCUAAUAAAAUAUUUCAGAACUUGCGAACCACUGUUUAUAGCGUGAAAUAAAACGUUUAAAAAAUGUAGUAACACUCUUAGGUGCUAAGAAUUUACAUAGCUUAAUAAGGUAUUUCCGGCCGAACACAAUGGCAUUACUUCCGAUUUUUCAAGUGCACUCAAAAGUCAGCUGCAGGCGGCAUUGGAUUUGAAAAAAGAGAUGGGAACAUCGCAGAGCAGAAAAAGAAAAAGAAAGGCGCGGCGGCAAGAAAAGCGCAGCUCAGCCCAAGGGGGUCACACAAUAAUGCCGGUCACAGGAUAAGCAACCAGGAGCAGGAGCAGGAGUACCAACACACAGAGCCAGCCACACAGACGCUUACACCCGCAAACACACACAGCCACACCAAAUACAGACAGACAGACAGACAGUCAAUAGCAAUGGCGUGGACUGAAGCUGACUGUAAAAAACGGAAAUGGGGCAAUCAUAAAUUUACACAGAUAUGCAAGUGCCUCGGCCCCGGUUUGUGUGUGUCGCUGUGUGAGUUACUGUCUCCACCCACCGCCCACCACCCACUCAACCUGAUUUCCAGCCAACUUCACCCACCAACUUCAAGCAACUACAAACAAACAGAAUCGAGCAGCGAAACAACAACCACAGCAAAGGAAAGUACCGGGUGGUCCUUCAAUUGUCGAUGAAGAGCACCCUAGCCAAAAAAGGAAAAAUACAAAAAAAUAAUGGGUUUAUUUUAAAAGACUCAAAAUUGCGUUAAAAUGUUGAUAAUGUUAUUUAA